UUUUUUUUUUUUGGUUUUUGUUCUUCACUGCA
rnacentral:sRNA from 1 species